rnacentral:tRNA from 1 species
AGUGUUGCUCAGUUUGUAGAGUGCUUGCUUAGCAUGCACGAAGGCCUGGGUUUGAUUCCCAGUACU